rnacentral:rRNA from 1 species
GUGCCAGCAGCCGCGGUAAUACGUAGGGCGCAAGCGUUAUCCGGAAUUAUUGGGCGUAAAGAGCUCGUAGGCGGUUUGUCGCGUCUGCUGUGAAAUCCGGAGGCUCAACCUCCGGCCUGCAGUGGGUACGGGCAGACUAGAGUGCGGUAGGGGAGAUUGGAAUUCCUGGUGUAGCGGUGGAAUGCGCAGAUAUCAGGAGGAACACCGAUGGCGAAGGCAGAUCUCUGGGCCGUAACUGACGCUGAGGAGCGAAAGGGUGGGGAGCAAACAGGCUUAGAUACCCUGGUGGUCCNCCCCGUAAACGUUGGGAACUAGUUGUGGGGUCCAUUCCACGGAUUCCGUGACGCAGCUAACGCAUUAAGUUCCCCGCCUGGGGAGUACGGCCGCAAGGCUAAAACUCAAAGGAAUUGACGGGGACCCGCACAAGCGGCGGAGCAUGCGGAUUAAUUCGAUGCAACGCGAAGAACCUUACCAGG